rnacentral:rRNA from 1 species
GACGAACGCUGGCGGCGUGCUUAACACAUGCAAGUCGAACGGAAAGGCCCUGCUUUUGUGGGGUGCUCGAGUGGUGAACGGGUGAGUAACACGUGAGUAACCUGCCCUUGACUUUGGGAUAACUUCAGGAAACUGGGGCUAAUACCGGAUAGGAGCUCCUGCUGCAUGGUGGGGGUUGGAAAGUUUCGGCGGUUGGGGAUGGACUCGCGGCUUAUCAGCUUGUUGGUGGGGUAGUGGCUUACCAAGGCUUUGACGGGUAGCCGGCCUGAGAGGGUGACCGGCCACAUUGGGACUGAGAUACGGCCCAGACUCCUACGGGAGGCAGCAGUGGGGGAUAUUGCACAAUGGGCGGAAGCCUGAUGCAGCAACGCCGCGUGCGGGAUGACGGCCUUCGGGUUGUAAACCGCUUUCGCCUGUGACGAAGCGUGAGUGACGGUAAUGGGUAAAGAAGCACCGGCUAACUACGUG